UGGGGAAUAUUGCGCAAUGGGCGAAAGCCUGACGCAGCCAUGCCGCGUGAAUGAUGAAGGUCUUAGGAUUGUAAAGUUCUUUCGCUCGUGACGAUGAUGACGGUAACGAGAGAAGAAGCCCCGGCUAACUUCGUGCCAGCAGCCGCGGUAAUACGAAGGGGGCUAGCGUUGUUCGGAAUUACUGGGCGUAAAGCGCGCGUAGGCGGUUUUGCAAGCCAGAGGUGAAAUGCCUGAGCUCAACUUAGGAAUUGCCUUUGGGACUGCGAGGCUUUGAGGACGAGAGAGGUGAGUGGAAUUCCCAGUGUAGAGGUGAAAUUCGUAGAUAUUGGGAAGAACACCGGUGGCGAAGGCGGCUCACUGGCUCGUUUCUGACGCUGUAGCGCGAAAGCGUGGGGAUCAAACAGGAUUAGAUACCCCCGUAGUCCCUGAGCGGGCUGGCAAGGCGCAU
rnacentral:rRNA from 1 species